rnacentral:rRNA from 1 species
GAUGAACGCUGGCGGCGUGCCUAAUACAUGCAAGUCGAGCGAACGGACGAGAAGCUUGCUUCUCUGAUGUUAGCGGCGGACGGGUGAGUAACACGUGGAUAACCUACCUAUAAGACUGGGAUAACUUCGGGAAACCGUAGCUAAUACCGGAUAAUAUUUUGAACCGCAUGGUUCAAAAGUGAAAGACGGUCUUGCUGUCACUUAUAGAUGGAUCCGCGCUGCAUUAGCUAGUUGGUAAGGUAACGGCUUACCAAGGCAACGAUGCAUAGCCGACCUGAGAGGGUGAUCGGCCACCCUGGAACUGAGACACGGUCCAGACUCCUACGGGAGGCAGCAGUAGGGAAUCUUCCGCAAUGGGCGAAAGCCUGACGGAGCAACGCCGCGUGAGCGAUGAAGGUCUUCGGAUCGUAAAACUCUGUUAUUAGGGAAGAACAUAUGUGUAAGUAACUGUGCACAUCUUGACGGUACCUAAUCAGAAAGCCACGGCUAACUACGUG